UCUGUUUAUUUUCGUUUUCCAUAUAAUUUACUGCAACGGUUAGGUUAGACUAUUAUAAAACUUAAAAACACAUUUAAAUGGAUAACUACUUUUUAUUUUGUUACAAUGUGUAUGGUUGCUGCAUAGUUUGUCAUGACGAUUUGAUCAACGCUGGUUUCACAUUUAAAACAUUUCAAGAAAAUUAUGACGUUUUGUCAAAAAUCAGUAAGUUAUAAAAGAAAGUUAAUAUUCUAU